rnacentral:misc_RNA from 1 species
GAGGUGAUCUACAACGAGGCCGAUGUAAUUGGCCGCGGUC